CCAGCACAUGGACCGAAUUGUU
rnacentral:snRNA from 1 species